CAUUUUGAUGUCUAGAAUCAGGGGAUCCAGGAUCAUCACCAAGGUCAUUUUCCCAGGUAUGGAGGGGUCUUUCUGCUUCUUUCUUGUCAUGCACAGCUGCUGAGGAAGGGGCUGGGAGUAAAGACAGUGAAAUGGGGAGGAGGAGUCCAUUCAAACCGAGAAACAAAGUGUUUGGUUUUUCUUACCCCUGGUGUAGAAGCUACCAACCUUUUCCAAGAAAGAGGGCCUGGCCCCCUUCUCGGGUCUGGCUGGGUGCCUGCUGUGCCUCUCUGGCCUCCCCUCCGAAGGGCACCAUUCCCUCGGGUGAGUACUACCGGCCUGCACCGUCUUCCAGUGGGGACAGCCUGAGAAGAGAGUCUGGAGCCUUACUUCAGUACCUUCCUUCACUGGCCUCACCCUGUGCAAAUCAUGCCACACGCUGCAGCCUCCUUUUCCCUAUCUAUAAAAUAAAAAUGACCCUGCUCUAUCUCACUGGGCUGGCAAGAACACACUGUUGUUACCUUGCAGACAGAUGUGCUGAGGCUGUAGAAAGUGCUUUUUAUUUGGUUGGGAGCUUGUGCAUAAAUGCGAGAGGGGCUGCACAUCUGACGGACUAGAGGUGACUCAUGGCUGAACCGGAACAGGACAUCGGGGAGAAGCCAGCAGCCAUGCUGAACUCUCCACAGGGCCCUGUGAAAAGCUCUUCACCUCCUCUGCCCUCUGGAUCUAGUGAAGCCUAUUCAUCCUUCAGAUGUCAGCUCAAAUAAUCAACCUUCAUGGAGGCCUCCCUUGACCCCUAACAUGCUUUCAAAGUACUGUGUAUUUCACAUUCAUCAUGCCCCGACAACUGUGAUUUCCCAUUUAUUAAUAUCUGUCUCUUCUGCUGGCCUGCAAACUCCAGGAGCACAGAGACAUCUUUGGGAUUUUUGAACAUGAUUUCCCCAGGGCUUAGCCCAGUGCCUGGUGCAAAGCAGGCUUUCAACAUGUUCAGUGGAUAUUGUAAGAAAGAAAGAAAUACACAAAAGGCCUGGCAUAUGCAAAGCACUCUAAAUAUUCACUCCUUUCCCUUCCCUCUGGGUGAGAAAAUUUCUCCUUAUAAAGACACCCUCCUAACUGUAUCUCUGCUAGAGAACUGAAGACAUAAAGCACUCUGUGCCAAAAAUAUUUAAGUAAAAACUUGAGCUAAGCACAGAGAUUAUAAAUAUUUCUUCCCCAGAUUACGCACCAUUUAAAAAUACUGUCUCAGCUCCUUUUCAUGAUUUGGGUGGUGAUUAAAGAAAAUUACUCUUCAAGACUGAAAGUCAUUACUGCCCUUUUCCUGACUUGCCUUUUCCCUUGAGAAGGGGAGGAUAAGCUGCAGGGCAGGAAGUGGAAGUGGGGCAUCCUUGUCCUUUGUCUGGCAGACAGCCAACUGGUCAGGUACUGCUCCUUCUCAACUCUUUCCUGAUUCCCAGGUGAAUAUAAACAAGAAGGCACAAAUCCACACUUGCCAACAACGGACCCAAGUGAUAACAAGAAACCCAGUGACACCUGUCUAGGUGAAGACUCAGCCCCUAUGUGACCAGGUUGCAAAGCCAAACUGACCAUCUGCUUUCCAUUUGGACUUUUAGUUCAUACUGUAUCUUCUCAGGACAGUUAAGUUGGAAUACAAUGCCACUGUCCUGAAAGAUGGUAGAAUUAUCCUAUUUCUGGAGGAGUGGGGGUGGUGGGUAGGAAUCUCAAGAGCGAUUUGCUCCUCUGCACAAUAGCUUCUUUAAGGACACCAGGGCCCCCAGGGCUAUACAUUUCCCUGAAGCUUUCCAGAUAAGCAACAAGGUAUGAGCACCUGCUAUGUAUUGCCCAAGGGUGAUGUGUUUAAAUAUCCAUUGCAUAUUUUAAAUCCUUGGCUGGCUUAAAGCUGCAAGCUUUCUGUCUUCAGUGGAUAUAAUGGGGGCAUACAUCCCAGAGCUUGCCCAACACUCCAAGAAAAGAACCCUCAGCUAAUGCAAAGUGUGUAUGUGCCCAUGAAAGCUCCAUGUCUACUUAACAUUCAGUUUUUAGGAUUAUUUAUGCUGUAAUAAUAGAUAUGAAAAUCUCUGACAGGUAUUUUGUUUCCUUUACAAACUGUAUUUGAAUUUAUGGGUGAUUUAGAGCUUGUGUUUAAAGUCAGAAUUCAGAACCCCAAAGAAAAUGACUUCAUUGAAAUUGAACUGAAGAGACAAGAACUGAGUUACCAAAACCUACUAAACGUGAGUUGCUGUGAACUGGGGAUUAAACCAGAACGAGUGGAGAAGAUCAGAAAGCUACCAAACACACUGCUCAGAAAGGACAAAGACAUUCGAAGACUGCGGGACUUUCAGGAAGUGGAACUCAUUUUAAUGAAAAAUGGAAGCUCCAGAUUGACAGAAUAUGUGCCAUCUCUGACAGAAAGGCCCUGCUAUGAUAGCAAAGCUGCAAAAAUGACUUAUUAAAUACUCCCAGGAAUGGCCGCGCAUGGUGGCUCACCCCCUGUAAUCCCAGCACUUUAGGAAGCCAAGGUGGGCAGAUCACCUGAGGUCAGGAGUUCUAGACCAGCCUGGCCAACAUAUAGUGAAACCCAGUCUCUACUAAAAAAAAUACAAAAAUUAGCUAGGUGUGGUGGCGCACACCUGUAGUAGUCCCAGCUACAUGGGAAGCUGAGGCAGGAGAAUCACCUGAACCCAGGAGGCAGAGGUUGCAGUGAGCUGAGAUUGCGCCACUGCACUCCAGCCUGGCGACAGAGCAAGACUCUGUCUCUCAAAAUAAAUAAAUAAAUAAAUAAUCAAU
rnacentral:lncRNA from 1 species